rnacentral:rRNA from 1 species
UGGGUAACCUACCUCUGACUGGGGGACAACCGGUGGAAACGCCGGCUAAUACCGCAUAAAGUGCGGCGUCAUAAGGCGUCCGUACCAAAGUGGCUUCGGCAGUCGGUUUAGAGAUGGGCCCGCGGCGGAUUAGCUUGUUGGUGGGGUAAAGGCCUACCAAGGCGACGAUCCGUAGCUGGUCUGAGAGGACGAUCAGCCACACUGGAACUGAGACACGGUCCAGACUCCUACGGGAGGCAG